ensembl:lncRNA TNFRSF14-AS1 TNFRSF14 antisense RNA 1
ACUCCACGCAGAACACAGCGCAGCGUCCUUUAAAGGAAGGCCAAAAACAACCCAACAAAAAUGCCAGGUGAUCAAAGCGGUCACAGCACAAUGUCCACAUCCAACGAGAAAUUGCUACUACGUCCAGACGCAGGGAAAGGUGGCCGUGGGAACGUGAGUCAGCAGCAACAGGCCCAGAAGGGCAGCCACGGUGGACUUGUCAGACGUGGACCCUGAAAUGACAAUCACAGCAUGAUUUCAGGCAGGAGCCUGAAAUGGUACAGCUUUGGACAUCGGUUUGGCAAAUUCUUUUAGAGAGAAACACACACCUUCCCUAGGACCCAGCAACUCCACUCCUAAUAACCAAGUGAAAUGGAAGGAGUUGUCCUCAGCAAAACGUGUGUGCGGAAGUUCACAGUCACUUUCUCGGUGAUAACCAAGAGCUGGAAACCACUGCAACACCCACCAGCAGGUGAACGGAUUAACACACUGGGCUAGGGCCACACAAUGAGAUGCUCCGUGGCAACACAAAAUGAACCGUGGACACACACUGCACGGCGGAUGAAUAUGCAGACAUCAGGCCACGUGAAGGGAGCCAGGCCCCGAGGCGCCACGCUUUGUGAUUCAGGAAAGAAAGCACGCAGCCAAAGAGCGCAAAGAGGCUCAGAGGAGGCCCGGGUGCCCUGGAGAGACGCUGCGUCCUGACGACACAGCAUCCCUGUCCCGCAGCGGAGAUUUCCCAGAUGAAGGAUUCCCCGGCGGGAGACAGGGCCCUGCACACAGGUCCUCUGCCACGCUGCUCACCAUGCCUGUGUGUUAUCUCCCCAUG